UACGGAGGGGGCUAGCGUUGUUCGGAAUUACUGGGCGUAAAGCGCACGUAGGCGGCUUUGUAAGUUAGAGGUGAAAGCCCAGGGCUCAACCCUGGAAUUGCCUUUAAGACUGCAUCGCUUGAAUCAUGGAGAGGUGAGUGGAAUUCCGAGUGUAGAGGUGAAAUUCGUAGAUAUUCGGAAGAACACCAGUGGCGAAGGCGACUCGCUGGACAAGUAUUGACGCUGAGGUGCGAAAGCGUGGGGAGCAAACAGG
rnacentral:rRNA from 1 species